UGAGUAGCUAGCAGUCUCUGCCAUGGAUGGCCUCUCUGAGGAGAUGACAUGGAAGGUGAGAACCUAAGGAUGAGUUGGUGUUAAAGAGAGGGAGGAGUUUUCCAGGCAAGAGGGAUGACAUGUCUCAGGGACACGAGGCAGGCGAGAGCGGCUCUACUGUUUAAUGCUGCUUAAUGCUGGUAAUGUCCACCUCACACAGCCCUCCUGAUGCUUAGAACUUGUGAGUGCCAUCACCUGAUCUGGAUUCACCUGCCUUUUCUCUCUCAUGUCUUGCAGGGCUGGGAUGAGCCAGGACCGCAAGGAGGGGGGCUUUGUGCUGACUCCCGGAAGGCUGGUUGUGUAUCCUCAGCUUUGAGAACUGAAUUCCAUGGGUUGUGUCAGUGUCAGACCUGUGAAGUUCAGUUCUUCAGCUGGGAUAUCUCUGUCGUCGUGGACUCGGGGAUACUGCAGAGAGCAGACCCAAGGGUGGCCGAAGGAUUUGGAAAACUGGAGCAGAUGGGGUCUCAGACUCUGAAGGAAUAGGGAGGGUGUGCUCAUGGGAAAAGCAGUCAUUUGAUUGUGAGAAAACUUGAAUUCUAUGCUGAGCAGUUUUCCAAGCAGCUAACUGCUGUCUGCAAGUCAUUCUUGCUACAGUUGCGGCCGCUACUACUUUACAUAUAUUGAUUACUGCUGGCAGUCCAGGUACUGUACUAAGUGCUUUACAUGCUGCUAUAGGAGACUCUGGGGGGAAAUCACUAAUGAAGCUUGGGACACCCAGAACUGACAUGUAACGGUAUUUCCCCCUCUUCGUGGGAUCAGACAGCAUUAAUAGAAUGUGACGGUUGUUCUUUAGCAUGGAUUGCUGAGAUAACUGGUCCCUUUUAAAGAUGAGAAUCGUGGGUACAUCCCUCUUACGGUCUCCUGUCUUUUUAUUUGGAUAUCUACUUCCUUGCCUUUUAUAAAUACAUUAGGAUACAUUGUCUUUGUGUUAUAAGCAAGGCAAAAUAGGUUGUAAUUAGACUUUACCAGGAUCCCUAGUUUCUCCCUGGGAAAAGGGAUACAGAGGUUUUGAAGGCUCCCUCCAUUUGCUGGCAUGGUUAGCUGUAUGUGGUGGGCCAAGCCCUUUCAUUGUCUUCCUCUGUCACCAAGUCAGUUAGGUCUAUUUUGAGGCUCACGUGUGGUAUGAUGAUGACAAUUUCCACCUUUAGGCAGAGUGCUUGGGCUGUAUAAGUAAUACUUGGACUUUCAUCAGGUUUUAGAUUGGAUGGGAAUACGAAGUCUCAUCCCUUGGAAACUCCUUGAUGCAUCAAUGUCUCUUGGUGUCCUGAAAGGUCCAUCUCUGUAUAGUCUACAGAAGUAAAGUGUGGUCUGGCCCAGAGAGGAGAGGCAGGCACAAAGCGGGCGACCCCAGAGCAUGUGCAUUCUCACACUUUCUUCUCAGUGACCCUGAGGUUUAUUGAGUGCCUACCAUGGGUUGGCCACUGUCCUCAGGGCAUAGCUUACAUUCACACCAAGCCUCAUCUGGAAAACAGGGACUGUUUGCAAAGGGAUAUUGUAACCACACUCUAUGGAUGUAAAGAGGUGCUUGGUUGUUGUGAAAGUGCUCUGGCAUGGGUGUGGAGCCUGUGCGUCCUCUCGGGGCUGUGCCGAUAGUAUCAAGAGCCUCCCCCACCCAUCGCACCCUGCCCACUUCCGUCCUUUGCUUACUAGACCCUUACUUAGUCAGUGACUCAUUCUUGAACCAGAACAUUGGUGAAGCUCAACUGAGACCAGAGAUCAGCGUCUUUACACCUAGAUUGUUGGAGAAAAUCCAGAAUUGACACCAAAAGCUCCAAAUGCUCUGGGUUUCAGACCAUCUGUGCUGUGAACACUCAGACCCAGAACUCUGACUUACUACAAAAGGCUCAUCCUUACCACGGCAGAUGAAUAUACUUCAACACAAAGGAAUGAAGAGCUACGGGUGGAGUUUUGGCAAGUGGAGAGAGAGAAAUCCUUGGCUCUUUCAAAUCACACCAUGACAGAAUCCGCUUUGCCUUUAAUGGGGAUGAGGCAUUGGAUCUGCUGUGGGGACUGGCUGAAUAUCUGUGAGAAGCAGGUCUCUCCCUGAAACUUGCAUUAAACCCUCGGUUAUCCUGGAAUCCAGAGCCUUAUUGGACUAGCUCAGAAGGCCGCUGGCUUGAGAACAGCAUGGAAACAGGACCGCUCUGGGAGUGACGCCUCAUCUAUAAGGCCCUUUCUGCUUUGUCAUUGUAGAAUUACAAGAUUUCUGCCCAGACAAGACCAUCUCUAGGAGACUGGGUCUCACCAAGAGACUGGAGCAGCUUUGGCCUAAAGCCACAGUCUUUGUUCUAAGAAGGGCCCCACCAGACUGGGUCCCUAAGGACCCACGCUCCUGUUUACGCUUCCUGUGCUGCCUCAGGCUGGGGAAACAUGGUGGAUUGGGCUCUCCUUCCAAGUAUCCCGCUACCAAACAUCACAGAGACAAAACAAACAAACAAACAAACCAAAUCAAAACAUGUGACAACAAAAACUGUAUAUAAAAACCUACUGUCUCUGGCAGCAUCAGUUUCUGGCAUUCACAUUUCCAGACACCUUAGUCCCAAAAUACAGAGUGGGAGGGGUCGGCAGGGGUGAGGUGAGGCUGGGCUUGCAUUCUUCUUCCUUUUUGGGGAGCCUCCUCCCACCUCCGGUGAUCACUGUCUCCCAUCCCACUGCUGCCUUGUUGGCAAUAAAUGGCCACUUCACAAGGCUGUGCCAUUCUCACUUAGCAAGAUAUUAUCAAUACUUUCAAUUUCAGUUAAUACAGAUGAGCACUGUCAUUUUUCUCUCUAACGAUUAUCUUAGUUUUGAGAUAUAUUUGUGUGUGAGUGUGUGAGUGUGUACUCUUUAAUCUCUUGAGAUACAUUUUAAUGGAGGUUCAUGUUUUGUUUUGGGUGGCAUCAACACUGCCAUUUUUAAUGAUGACAGAAUAUUCUGUUAUGACUGCCCCAGGGUGUUAACAAGCCCAAAGUUCCCCACUCACCCCACCCAUUGCACACUCCAUAGGUUACCUCUCUUUACCUUAUCAUGGAUGGAGUCACAGCAUCAUCCUCUCUAGCCUGUUCAUUUUACAGAACAGAGAAAUAGCAUCUAACUGAUGGUAGACUGGAUAGACUCAAAGGGAAGGUGAAGAGUCUUCAGUGCCUUUGUACUGGGCAGUUUACAGACUAUUAAAAAUGUCCCCUUACACAUUUUCACGUUCACUUCUAACCAGUGAGUCUCUACUGUCCCCAGCUGGACAGCGUAUUGUUCUGACCUUCUUUCCUGUGCCCUAAAGUGGCAUUUUAAGCCCUCCUUACCCUCUCCCAGGCCUGUCCCACCUCUGCAACCCCCUCCCCCCAGAAUUGAAUUUCCCAAGGGUGACUGCCACACAGGGCCUGCAAUCCAGUCACAAGAUGGCUAAAUAUAAACUGUGCAAAC